GCAAGUAUAGUUUAACCCAAACAUUAGACUGUGAUCCUAAAAAUAGAAGUUAGACUCUUCUUACCUGCC
rnacentral:tRNA from 2 species